UACUGCUCCCGGACAGGAAGUGACUGGGGCGCGGGGAGGAGGGGGGCACAGCGGCGCAGGCGAGCUCCGAGACCAGAUGUGCGGCUCCAACUCCAGAUGUUCUUCAUCUCCGUCCUACCCGCCGUCCGGGCUCCUCCUGCCUCGGCCUGUGCCAGGCUGGGGAGAGGACGGAGGUCACCGAGAGGCAGUGAGAGGUCAGCCCCGACACAGGAGCAGUUUUCCGCGGGAGCUUUGCUGGAGGGACCCUGCCAGCCUCCACUGAAUCCUUUCCCCCACGCUGACGGGCUCUGGGGGCGCUGAGGGGCUGCUGGGGUCACUCGCAGGCCAGCUUCCCGUCGAAACUGGAGAGGGCGAUGGCGAAGGCCUGCAGGGCGCACAGCGGGUACCGGUAGUCUAGGGUGAAGGCGUCCUCCGCCACGCGGCCGAACUGCAGCACGAUAUAGUCGGCUAUGGACACAAGACGGGGUGGGGGCGGCCCGAGACCUCCUUGGACCCCCAUCCUGGCAGACAGUGCCCUCAACCUUGGGGGCAGUCUGUCCCUUGCCUUGGGGCUCCAACCCUCAGCCACCAUCUCAGUUACUCAACACCCAUCCCUUCUUCUAUCUCACUCCACACCAGCACCACGUGGCUUUGCAGUCACACUAUAAUCUCCUGGGGGCAGGGACCUUGCCUUUCUGCUGCUGCCACAGGCCAUGCCUAGAGCCCGCACCUGAUUAACUAUAGGACCCUGUCAAAUUUAUCCAAGCCCAGCAUUCUUCCUUCCCAAAUUCUCUGUUGUUUCUGGCCACAGUCUUUCCUCCUAUCCCCAGCCACGAAGUCCCACCUUAGACCCCAGCUCCACCCCUUGACUAGCCCCUGGUUCCCUUCCUCAGCCUCACUGGGCACCUCUCCCUUCAAUGAUCCAGGUUCCCAGCCCCAACCUCAGCACCUCCCCCAGGAUCCAUAGGGACAGGAAGUUGCUAAAAAUACCCCCAAACUCAGGUGGACGAGGCUCCACCAGAAACGUGAUCUGGAGAGCAGUCCCACAGCCACAGGACAGGUGGCACUGGGGGCACAUCCCUAGGAUGCAGUUGGGGCUCGCUCAAUGUUGGUCCAACCCUGUGAACCCAGAGACUUAUGGGAGAUACCCUUCCAUCCCCAAACUUCCUCACCCUAGUGGGAAGGAAGCCUUUCCAACCAAGGCUUGUAACAGGGACACCUUGUUUCCCUGAGUCUUCCAGGGUAGUCCUUUGACCUCACUUGAGAGAAGACACAGAGUAGGCACUCAAAAAUGCUUAAUAUUCCCUGCCCCUAAAAGGCAACCAUCUUGAAGAGAUUAAGAGCAUGGCCACUGGAGAUCCAGACUGUCAGCUCUACCUCCUACUAGUGAUGUGACCGUGGGCAAGUUGCUUAACCUCUCUGUGCCUUAGUUUCCUGCCAAAUAGGGAUAAUAAUGGCACUCUUCACAGGGACGUUGAAGGGAUUUAAUGAUUCAGUUAUCUGUAAAAUCCUGAGAACAGUGCCUGGCACAUAGUAAACACUGUGUAAGUUUUGUGAAAUAAAUUUCGAGGGCCAGUGUAACUUCCUGAAGUUGCUGAGAGACUCUGGGCAAAGGGCUGCCCUCUCUGAGCCUCAGCACUCUCUUUGAACAAAGAGGAGUUGGGCUGUCCGUGGUUUUCAGACUCUAGGAGCCAACCCUCCCUUCAACACAAUCUUAUCCAGAAUGUCCCAGUAUCUAACCCACUGCUCUGGCCAAUGCUGGAAUGGGAA
rnacentral:lncRNA from 1 species